GAUGAACGCUGGCGGCGUGCCUAAUACAUGCAAGUCGAGCGAACAGACGAGGAGCUUGCUCCUCUGCCGUUAGCGGCGGACGGGUGAGUAACACGUGGAUAACCUACCUAUAAGACUGGGAUAACUUCGGGAAACCGCAGCUAAUACCGGAUAAUAUAUUGAACCGCAUGGUUCAAUAGUGAAAGACGGUUUUGCUGUCACUUAUAGAUGGAUCCGCGCCGCAUUAGCUAGUUGGUAAGGUAACGGCUUACCAAGGCAACGAUGCGUAGCCGACCUGAGAGGGUGAUCGGCCACACUGGAACUGAGACACGGUCCAGACUCCUACGGGAGGCAGCAGUAGGGAAUCUUCGGCAAUGGGCGAAAGCCUGACGGAGCAACGCCGCGUGAGUGAUGAAGGUCUUCGGAUCGUAAAACUCUGUUAUUAGGGAAGAACAAAUGUGUAAGAAACUAUGCACGUCUUGACGGUACCUAAUCAGAAAGCCACGGCUAACUACGUG
rnacentral:rRNA from 1 species